UCAAGCUUCAAUGGACUAAAGGACCUUGUCAUUUCCCCACACUUUGCUCGGCAGAGUGUGUGUUUCGGUUAUUGGAUUAUAACUUUGGACCUUAAUAUCUCCUAUUGGACAUUAUUUUCUUGGACUAUAUUUGACCUUUCCUGAAAGGUCUAUUUCUGAACUUUAUUCUUCACUUAUUUUUAUUGACUUUAUAUAAUCCUUUAAUAAAGAUAUUAGAUAGAUUCUGGUCUCUGCGCAUGGUUAUUGGUGCUCUGCAGCCUGGGUCCUGACACCUGUGAGGUUGGCAAAAUUGAGAGGCAGUAACUCCAAAGUUUACCUAGUAGGUUUCCUAUUGUUGUUGUUGUGUUGUUAUUUCAAAGGCUGGAUGGGUAUCUGUUGGGGGUAGUUUGACUGUGCUCUUCCUGCCUGGCAGACUAAACUCUCCCCUUGUACAAUUACUUAACAAAAGUAACAAAUAAUUUGUUAUAUCGUUAUAGUUAUGAUACAUACCCCUAACAAUAGUUUAGAAACACUUUAGAAACUGUUGUCCGCGCUACCCUAAUUUUGUAACGAGAAUUGAAACUUUUUUUCAUUGAUCGCACAGGACUACUAUGUAUAGAUCUGAGCUGUUUUAAUACCAUGAUUAGUUUAAUUCACAUUCAAGGUAUUGUUCUUUUUUUUAAAAAAAAAUUGUCCCAAAUCCCAAUUUUGGGAGAAAGUAUCGUUGAAAAAUGAACCCCCCUUCCCAAAAGAUAAACUCAACAUGAAUUACAAUAUCAAAUAAAAAAUGUAUUACAUUUUUACACUUUUAUUUAAAAAAGGAACUAUCCCCUUCUCUGAGUGAUAAAAGACAAGAACAUAGCCUUGGACCUCCUAGGAGAAUACCAAAUUUUGAAGUUUUAGCCCCCAAACUAUCUGAGGUCAGCUUAUACAUGAGUACACAUGGUAAUAUUAGAUAUUUUAUAUUACUAAUUGAAAGGCGUCCUCAGUGAAUAUAUCUGAACAUAUAUAGUACUUGCAUGAAUUAGUAAAAUGUACAUAGAGCUGCACUGUAAACUGCUCCCUUUGUUGUCUGGGUUGUUUAUUUCACAAAGCUAAGGGAAAUGAUUGCCAUCAUUCUUAAAGAGGGAUAAGAAUGGAAUAAUGUCAACAGCUAUCCAAAUAGUUCUCAGUUUCACUUUCUUGGCAGAUUACGCAUAAUUUUCUUGAGUGAUCAAAAUCUAGAAACUGUACUGAAGAACAAUGGUGUAAACUAGACAUGUCUAACUUUUUCUGAUUGUUGCUGAAGUUACUUCAGCCCUAUCUUUACUAUGGAAAAGCAUGCUGGCAAUGUUGCUGUUGUCUGGAUAUUUUCAGUCGCACUGCAGUAUGCUUACCACUUCACUUCUAAGAUGAAUUAGAUAUCAAGAAACUUCUUGGAAAUAUUCUUGCUGACACAUCUUAAAGAACUGGGAAACAAGAAAUCUAAUUUUAUCCUUUCAUAGAUUUUUCAAAUAUAUUUUAUUCUCUUGAGGAGAUGGUGAUUCUGUUACCAUGGUAAAGCUCUUUUACUUUGCCUACCAGUCAAUGUAGCAGUGCUCGCUUAUGUUCAUCCACCUACCCUGUUUCAUGAAGCGAGUAGCAUUUCAGGAUUUUUAAAUGAAGUCUCAGAAAAGGUGAAGGGUUCCCAUUAUACUAAAGAGGCAAAACACAUUUGGAGGAGGACUCUAUUAUAGUGAAUGAAAAGGUCGGAUUUCUGUCUAUCUUUA
rnacentral:lncRNA from 1 species